rnacentral:lncRNA from 1 species
GAUGAAUGACCUGAAAAAAGUCAUGUUAAUUACACUGAAUCAAAUGGAUAUUAAUAAAAAAAAAAAUAUGACGAUAGAGCAGAACAAUUUGCACAAGUAUUAAUCCCAGGUUAGCAGCUACUUAUAUUUUAGAAUAUUGGUUUAAUGUUUAAUCAAGUGAAAUAAGCUGCAUAUACCACCCCCAUGAUCCUCUCAGUUUACAAACUAUUUUAUAUAAUAACAUACAACUCCCUAUUGAUUUUGAAAUUAACGGGAGCCAAUCCAUGUACCGUUGACAACAAUAUAGCAAGUUGUUACUAUUUCAGAACAUACUGACUAUUAAAGGCAGUUCUAAGUAAAAGAACAAAUUAAUAUAGUUUAAGACUAUGCAGAGGUGGUUUAUAAAUGUAAUCAAAACUUCAACCAAAUGACUAGACCCUGGCAGUGCUAAAGUAUGGCAUAAGAAACAAAAUGCAAGGUAAAAUUCAUUUAGGCAAUUUCUGCAACUUCUUCUCCAUAAUAAUACACAAAAACACCAAAACUUUGAAGGAGCAAUGAGGUAAAGUCUGCCAUGUGUUGCCGAAUUCUACCAUCAACUUCAAGCCCCAAUCUUAAGCAAGGGCCUUUAGAUUUAUUUAUUCACAACUAAUCUAUAAAAUUCCUUAGCAUAAUUGCUUUGCAGGUCAACGUUGUUGAAGUAAUACUUCUUUCAAAUUCCUUUUGUCUGUUUUUCUCUUUUUUUUUUCCUUAGAGAGAUGGAGGGAGGUGGGAGUAAUGGGAUGAACCAAGAGAAAACAAUUACUAAUAGGAAUUUCAACAAAAAUAGAAUGCACAAAAGAGAAGCUGCAUUAUGUUUUGCACUCACUUAAAACCUCUUCUCUAAUCAUUUAUUGUUUUGUACCCAGUUAUAUGUCAUAAAAGUUAUGAAUUGAACUGAAAAUUCAGAAGCAAGCACUCAUGCAUACCUAACCUGCUGCAUUCAGGGCCCUCAUGGCCUCACUGAGACUGGCAUAUUUUCUUUUGCGGCAACAGCAAACCUAAUAGCACAGAUUCACUUUCUCGUGGUAGUGCAAUAGGGCAGCCUGCACCAAUCAUGAACAAAUAAGCAUUAAGUUUGUUAACAUGCACACAACACUGGAAAAGAAAACUAUUAUUCUCAAAAGUAGUCAGAACAACCUAUCAUAGACUUACAGUACUGGAUUUAGUGCAUAUUUCUUUAAUUUUUAUACAUGUUGUAAAAUAAAAAUUUGUCUGCAUACCGAACCUGCUUAGUUCUUCCAACCCUGAACACCAACCUUACUGGUAUGAACUAUCCAAAAUUCAAUUUGAGGUUCCAUGAAUUAUUCAAGCUAACAAUUCAAGAUUGAAAGACUUUCCUAGCAUAUUCACAAUAAUUAAUAACUAGUGAACAUUGAGACUUCACCCGUAUAUUAUAUCAGACUGGGGAAAGAAAUAAUGAGGGAAAAUUGCAGUAGAGGUAAAUACUAGUAAAUGCACAUGUAUCAACAAUUUUUGGUCCAAUGGUUGAACCAGAUAAGCAACAAUGUAGCUACAGCAGGGGCAAGAAUAUCCACUGUUAACCAAUUCCUAAUCUUUUUCUUCAUCCAAAUGUUGGAUCAGCACAUAAACCAACGGUCUUAUUCAUCCAGGGAAGGCUACACUUCGUCUGUAUAAAUUAUAUGAUGUCAGGUUACAAGAAGAAGAGUAAGAUAUUGGUAAAUGCAAAACUAAAAUGAUAUGUUAAAAAAGAACCAAAUCAUGCUUUACUUUUUUACAGUUGAUUGCUAUGUUUCAAAUUGUAAAACAAAUGAACUUGAUCAAUGUGCAUCAUAAAAGAAGAAAGUGUUAUAAUCAGAUAAAUCAUGGAGGGAGGUGUACUCUAUUGCUAUGUUCAUUGAACCAUAAGAAUCUAUAAGUGACACAACCUGGAAAUCAGUCUUAACAUAAGAGGUUCUGAAAAAUAUUUUCCUCUGCAUUGAUGGCAGGUUUUAAACAAAGUAUCAUGAAAUUGAUAUCAAAAUCAGUGCAAUAAUAAAAGAUAUACUCACAUUAUGCUAGCCUGAUCGGUCACCACUUUCAACUUAAACUAAGGGCUUAAAUCCUAUAAUUUCUUGUAUCGAAAGCC